ACGGAUUGGGCUGGCCGGUGCGGUGAAGCAAAGCUUGCGCAGGCCAAGCGAAGGGCGCUUUCAACCACUUAACACACGCCAACUGUGGCGUGCAGCGUUGGAGGAGCUCUACAAUGUCAUGCACACGGCGCUUCUACCCAGAAAGCGGCUUGUGUUAACCCGCUCCACCCUUCCUGACCCCCUCUUAUGGCCCACACCAGGACCCCAAGGCCUCCAAGCCUGAGGACUGGGACGAGCGUGAGGAGAUCGCCGACCCCGAGGACAAGAAGCCUGAGGGCUGGGACGACAUCCCCGCCACCAUUGCCGACAAGGACGCCAAGAAGCCCGAGGACUGGGACGACGAGGAGGACGGCACCUGGGAGCCGCCCAUGAUCCCCAACCCCGAGUACAAGGGUGAGUGGAAGGCCAAGAUGAUCAAGAACC
rnacentral:lncRNA from 1 species